rnacentral:misc_RNA from 1 species
UUACUGAGUUUACGCUCUACAACCCUUUGUGAACAUACCUAUAACUGUUGCUUCGGCGGGUAGGGUCUCCGCGACCCUCCCGGCCUCCCGCCUCCGGGCGGGUCGGCGCCCGCCGGAGGAUAACCAAACUCUGAUUUAACGACGUUUCUUCUGAGUGGUACAAGCAAAUAAUCAAAACUUUUAACAACGGAUCUCUUGGUUCUGGCAUCGAUGAAGAACGCAGCGAAAUGCGAUAAGUAAUGUGAAUUGCAGAAUUCAGUGAAUCAUCGAAUCUUUGAACGCACAUUGCGCCCGCCAGCAUUCUGGCGGGCAUGCCUGUUCGAGCGUCAUUUCAACCCUCAAGCUCUGCUUGGUGUUGGGGCCCUACAGCUGAUGUAGGCCCUCAAAGGUAGUGGCGGACCCUCCCGGAGCCUCCUUUGCGUAGUAACUUUACGUCUCGCACUGGGAUCCGGAGGGACUCUUGCCGUAAAACCCCCAAUUUUCCAAAGGUUGACCUCGGAUCAGGUAGGAAUACCCGCUGAACUUAAGCAUAUCAAUAAGCGGAGGAAAAGAAACCAACAGGGAUUGCCUCAGUAACGGCGAGUGAAGCGGCAACAGCUCAAAUUUGAAAUCUGGCCCUAGGCCCGAGUUGUAAUUUGCAGAGGAUGCUUUUGGUGCGGUGCCUUCCAAGUUCCCUAGAACGGGACGCCAGAGAGGGUGAGAGCCCCGUACAGUUGGACACCAAGCCUUUGUAAAGCUCCUUCGACGAGUCGAGUAGUUUGGGAAUGCUGCUCAAAAUGGGAGGUAUAUUUCUUCUAAAGCUAAAUACCGGCCAGAGACCGAUAGCGCACAAGUAGAGUGAUCGAAAGAUGAAAAGCACUUUGAAAAGAGGGUUAAACAGCACGUGAAAUUGUUAAAAGGGAAGCGCUUGUGACCAGACUUGCGUCCGGUGAAUCACCCAGCUCUCGCGGCUGGGGCACUUCGCCGGCUCAGGCCAGCAUCAGCUCGCUGUCGGGGACAAAAGCUUCAGGAACGUAGCUCCCUUCGGGGAGUGUUAUAGCCUGUUGCAUAAUACCCUUCGGCGGGCUGA